UGAGAUUUUCCUUGAGAUACAGCAUGAAAUCUAUUGAUGACAAAAGUCUUUGUACAUUUUGUAUAAAUGAGUAUUUGCUUCGGUUCAACAUAUAUUUCUGACGCAUGCGUACAAUGUGCGUGCUGACGUGUUCUGAAUAUUAACGACUAUAAUGAGGAAAACUGCUAAACUAUUUCAUAAUACCAGAUGCCGCCUGAACUAAACGCGUCGUUGCCUAUAAACGUUGCGCCGAUAUUCUGGCGAAACUAUUAUGACUUUUGAAACAAUUUACAACCUUAGGAAGAGGGAGGGUGUCAGCUGGUAAAUUUUAUUAAAAUUUCCAAUGUUGUUUUGGCAAAACACUUGACCGACUUAAAUAACCAAAUUAAACAAUUUCAUAUACCGCCAAUCAUAAGUAGUUUUACGAAAUUCAAGGGAUAUUAGUAUACGGGAACCCUAUAUAUGCAUGGAAACCAC